rnacentral:lncRNA from 1 species
UUAAGCUUGCAAUUUUUUUGCCAUUCCAGUACAUCUGCUGGCACUUAUCCACAGGAUCAACAAAACUGCUUUCAUUGACUAGACCUUCAGUCUAUCUGAAUUUAUAAACAACACAAACUAUGAAGAGGACUCUCAGCCCAACCGCAGAGAGACGCCCCCUUUAGAAAAGCUUCCCAUCCUCACCUUGACCGGAUCAGGGGCUCAGCUGGUGGAACCUCUAGGUGCAGUCGGUGCUGCGUUAUCACGGCUGUAUCUCCAGUGCGCCAUGGAGGUGCCCUUCUCCACAUUCCAGGGGCUGCAUUUCCACAGGUUUCCACAUCUUCUUAUGCAUCCAAAGAACAGAUAUUGGGCUGUCCUCUGGGAUUCCUUUACAGCCUUCAAAGUCCUGAAGGAUGGAGAUGCGGGUGGCUGAAGAAUCUCUGGCAGCUGGACAAAACAUCUCAGAGCCUAAAGAUGAGCCUCGGAAGCCGUGAUUUGUCACGAAGACCCGGGGAGCUAAGCUAGAUAGGAUGUUGACGGUGGCAAUUCCACAGUUUCAUCCCUUGGAAACGUAUUUUUAAAAAAUAUCUGGCUGAAUUUCCUACGGAUGGUUCUAUGCUUCCUUUUUAUUCUUUUUUAUAGCUAUUCGUCUAGUUGUGAAUACAUGUAUGUCCAUUUAAACAUUUAAACAAUAUGUCCAUCUGAUCCAUUCUGUCCCUUUAAGUUGUUAACUUGGGGCAAAGCUUUAAAAGGCAGAAUUGUGUGCACAAUAAGUGGG